rnacentral:misc_RNA from 1 species
AUUCCAGCCUUGAGGCAGCCAGAAAUAACCUCAACGGAUCGAGACUUAGGACCUAGAGUCCCCACAAUCUUCGUCAUUGCUGGAAAGAAACUAGCUUUUGAUGGCUCCAGGAUUGAAGCCAUCCUUAUCGGCUCCUCGAGAAGCAAAUGACUCGCAUGCAUCUUCGCGGAUUAAUAACGAAAUAAAUAACAAAAAUACAACAAAAAAAUGGAAUUGGGUAAGAACAAAAUUGAACUGAGAUUUAGUGUUUGGCGUGAAUCGAGCGCAGCAGCUGAAGCUCUUGGCUUUUGAUUUGCUUAUAGUCCCUCCUGACCUUCGAAUAUGCUCUCGCGUAAAUGCUGCUUUUAAAAACC